rfam:Bacillus cereus AH1271 contig00092, whole genome shotgun sequence.
UUCUUAUAAAGAGAGGUGGAGGGACUGGCCCUUUGAAACCUCAGCAACCUAAUAUUACAUAAAGGUGCUAAAUCCUGUAGGAUCUAAAAGUCCUAAAAGAUAAGAA